GAUGAAGAACGCAGCGAAAUGCGAUAAGUAAUGCGAAUUGCAGAAUUCAGUGAGUCAUCGAAUCUUUGAACGCACAUUGCGCCCUGUGGUAUUCCGCAGGGCAUGCCUGUUCGAGCGUCAUUUCAACCCUCAAGCUCUGCUUGGUGUUGGGCCCUGCCCGCUGCGGCCGGCCCUUAAGACAGUGGCGGUGCCGCCUGGCCCUGAGCGUAGUACAUCUCUCGCUCCAGUGCCCGGUGGUAGCCUGCCAGAACCCCAACUCUCGUGGUUGACCUCGGAUCAGGUAGGGAUACCCGCUGAACUUAAGCAUAUCAAUAAGCGGAGGA
rnacentral:misc_RNA from 1 species